rnacentral:rRNA from 1 species
AUUGAACGCUGGCGGCAGGCCUAAAACAUGCAAGUCGAACGAGUGGCGGACGGGUGAGUAAUUUCUGGGAAACUGCCUGAUGGAGGGGGAUAACUACUGGAAACGGUAGCUAAUCCCGCAUACCAUCGGAUGUGCCCAGAUGGGAUUAGCUAGUAGGUGGGGUAAAGGCUCACCUAGGCGCCGAUCCCUAGCUGGUCUGAGAGGAUGACCAGCCACACUGGAACUGAGACACGGUCCAGAGUCCAACGGGAGGCAGCAGUGGGGAAUAUUGGACAAUGGGCGGAAGCCUGAUGUAGCCAUGCCGCGUGUAUGAAGAAGGCCUUCGGUUUGUAAAGUACUUUCGGCGGGGAGGCGUUACCCGCAGAAGAAGCACCGGCUAAAUCCGUGCCAGCAGCCGCGGUAAUUC